AUAGUUUUUCCACGGAAAGGAAAGGUAGCUAAAGCGGAAGAGGUCGGCACGCGAUCCUGGCUGCACUCCAGUGAUCUCCAUGUCUUCUGUCUAUGUAUUGGAGCCGCCGACGAAGGGGAAGGUGGCGGUCAAUACGACAGUGGGUCCAAUCGACAUUGAACUAUGGCCGAAGGAGGCCCCGAAUGCCGUCCGUAACUUCGUACAACUAUGCCUUGAGGGCUACUACGACAACACCAUCUUCCACCGGAUCAUCAAGUCCUUCGUCGUCCAAGGAGGAGAUCCCACCGGCACUGGAACCGGAGGUGAAAGCAUCUACGGAGGUACCUUUGCUGAUGAGUUCCAUUCACGCUUAAGAUUUAACCAUAGGGGUUUGGUGGCAUGUGCUAAUGCCGGUUCACCUCAUUCUAAUGGAAGCCAAUUUUUUAUGACAUUGGACAGAUGUGAUUGGCUUGAUCGUAAAAACACUAUUUUCGGAAAGGUUACUGGAGAUUCCAUUUAUAAUUUUCUUAGGUUGGGUGAUGUUGAAACUGAUAAAGAUGAUAGGCCAAUUCAUCCCGCUCCAAAAAUCCUUUCUGUUGAGGUGGUUUGGAAUCCUUUUGAUGAUAUAGUCCCAAGGCAGGUGCCUGAAAGGCUUUUUUCUUCAGCAAAGUCUGAUAAUGAUCAAAAAGAGCAAAAACAAAAAGCUAUUAAGAAGCUAAAUGUAUUAUCUUUUGGAGAUGAGGUUGAAGAGGAUGAGAAGGAAUCAGAAAGCAUCAAGGAAAAGAUUAGGAGCAUUCACGAUAUCUUGGAUGAUCCCCUUUUCCUUAAAGGAGAACCAACAGAAGAUCUGAUGAAUUCUAUAGAAACUGAAAAGAAGGGAAUCCAGAGGUCUGUCAGGGAGGCAUUAAAUUCAAAGAAAAUUGGCUCUAAUAAAGAUCAGGAUAUUGACACGCCUUAUUCAUUUGGUCAUAGUAAUAAUGAUUAUGAUGAUGAUGAUGAUGAUGAUGAUGAUGAGGACAAAUUUGAUGCAAGAAUGCGCUCACAAAUUCUAAAGAAACGCAGGGAGCUUAGAAACAUCGUUUCACAUGAAAAAUUUUCUACAUCUGGUGAAGGUAAAUCCACUAAAAAUGACAGUGUGCGGUCUCCAAGGGUAGAUAAUGAUCGUGAUCAUUAUGCUGGCCCAACAUCCAAGGUUGAAAAGCUUGCCUUAAAGAAAAAGGGCAUGGGGUCAGAAGCUAGAGCUGAACAAAUAGCUCAAGCAUACUCUGAUUUACAACUGCUAUCUCAUGGUGAGCAGGAAAGGCAGAUACAGAAACAGAAGAAGCGUCGAAAUCAGGGUCGUGAGGAAGAUACGCUGGCAAAGCUAGAGAAAUUCAAGCAAUCUUUAGCUGACAAGCUCUCUGCACCUGCACGAAGUAACUUAAACGACAAUGAUGCAGAUGAAUCAGGAUGGCUUUCCAAUCAGUUAAAGUUUUCUCCUGAUCAUUCUGACGGAAAGGAUGCAAUGGCUCGGAAGAAUGAUCCUAAUGAAUAUGUGGUGCAUGAUCCUCUUCUAGAAAAAGGCAAAGAAAAGUUCAACAAGAUGCAAGCUAAGCUUAAGCGGCGUGAGCGAGAGUGGGCUGGCAAAUCCCUAACUUGAUUGUUUUUAGCAUGUGCGUUUGCACAAUGAUUUAGAACUAGAUUUAGCUUCUCCAUUUCUUUGAUGCUAUUCAAGUUCACCUGCUUCUCCACCUCACUCACAGCAUUGUUGUUCAACUCCACCUAUUUCUUUGCCUGCUCGCUCGCUGUGAAGGAACUGUAAUUGCUCAACCACUGCUAUUGAUUCUAGAAGAAGUAUGCCAGCAAACAUUUGAUUCACCGAAAUGACUCAAUAUGUUCCAAUUGGAAAGGAUUCUGUAUAUUCCUCCCCUUCAUCUACAAAUUUUUUUUGACAAUCUAGAAUUUGGACAUAAAAUCUGUAAACCUGAAAAGGUUGCCUUAUUGGUUGGUAGUAGUCCUCCAAAUUGUUAAUAAUCUUUAAGGUCAUAGUUUUUCUCUUUUUUGUCUUAGCCUGCUUUUUUUUUUUUAUUUGAUAUUAAGUUUGAUUAGACCGGAAUGAGUAACCUUACUGGAGUGUCCUCUAAUUGGAAGGUCUAGAGGUAUAGAUACAUUUGAACUCAAUUUCUCUUUCAACUUAAGUAUUGAUUCAAUUGGAGAUUUUCAUUUGAUAUCAAGAACUCCUUCAAGCUAUCUUUACAUCUUUAAAUUCA